GAUGAACGCUGGCGGCGUGCCUAAUACAUGCAAGUCGAACGGGGAGUAGCAAUACUCUUAGUGGCGAACGGGUGAGUAACGCGUUGGUACCUGCCCCGAAGCGGGGGAUAACGGACCGAAAGGUCCGCUAAUACCCCAUGUGCUCGGUAACGAGUAAAGGUGAAAACCACUUUGGGAGGGGCCUGCGUCCCAUCAGCUAGUUGGUAAGGUAACGGCUUACCAAGGCGAUGACGGGUAGGGGACCUGAGAGGGUGGCCCCCCACAAUGGAACUGGAACACGGUCCAUACACCUACGGGUGGCAGCAGUAGGGAAUAUUGGUAAUGGGCGCAAGCCUGAACCAGCAACGGCGCGUGUGCGAUGACGGCCUUCGGGUUGUAAAGCACUUUUGACUGGGACGAGGAAGGACGGUACCGGUCGAAUCAGCCUCGGCUAACUACGUG
rnacentral:rRNA from 1 species